UCCGACCUUAGCUCAGUUGGUAGAGCGGAGGACUGUAGUGGGGUUCCCCGAGCUGAUAUCCUUAGGUCGCUGGUUCGAAUCCGGCAGGUCGGAA